UGAGGAAUAUUCCACAAUGGACGAAAGUCUGAUGGAGCGACGCCGUGUGGGUGAUGAAGUCUUUCGGGAUGUAAAACCCUGUCAGAGGGGACGAUAUUGACGGUACCCUCAAAGGAAGCCCCGGCUAACUACGUGCCAGCAGCCGCGGUAAUACGUAGGGGGCGAGCGUUAUCCGGAAUUACUGGGCGUAAAGGGCACGUAGGCGGCAGCUUAAGUCGAGUGUUAAAGGUACAGGCUCAACUUGUACAUCGCGCUUGAUACUGGGUUGCUAGAGAGAUAUAGAGGAAAGCGGAACUUCCAGUGUAGCGGUGAAAUGCGUAGAUAUUGGAAGGAACACCAGUGGCGAAGGCGGCUUUCUGGGUAUUUUCUGACGCUAAGGUGCGAAAGCUAGGGGAGCAAACGGG
rnacentral:rRNA from 1 species